rnacentral:rRNA from 1 species
UCCUGGCUCAGGAUGAACGCUAGCGGCAGGCUUAAUACAUGCAAGUCGAGGGGCAGCACAGGUAGCAAUACUGGGUGGCGACCGGCAAACGGGUGCGGAACGCGUACACAACCUUCCUUUAAGCGGGGAAUAGCCCAGAGAAAUUUGGAUUAAUACCCCAUAGUAUUUUGGUUAGGCAUCUAACUAUCAUUAAAGAUUUAUCACUUAAAGAUGGGUGUGCGGCUGAUUAGGUAGUUGGCGGGGUAACGGCCCACCAAGCCUUCGAUCAGUAACUGGUGUGAGAGCACGACCAGUCACACGGGCACUGAGACACGGGCCCGACUCCUACGGGAGGCAGCAGUAAGGAAUAUUGGUCAAUGGACGCAAGUCUGAACCAGCCAUGCCGCGUGGAGGAUGAAGGCCCUCUGGGUUGUAAACUUCUUUUAUCUGGGACGAAAAAAGGCUUUCCUAAGUCACUUGACGGUACCAGAGGAAUAAGCACCGGCUAACUCCGUGCCAGCAGCCGCGGUAAUACGGAGGGUGCAAGCGUUAUCCGGAUUCACUGGGUUUAAAGGGUGCGUAGGUGGGUUGGUAAGUCAGUGGUGAAAUCUCCGAGCUUAACUUGGAAACUGCCAUUGAUACUAUCAGUCUUGAAUAUUGUGGAGGUCAGCGGAAUAUGUCAUGUAGCGGUGAAAUGCUUAGAUAUGACAUAGAACACCAAUUGCGAAGGCAGCUGGCUACGCAUAUAUUGACACUGAGGCACGAAAGCGUGGGGAUCAAACAGGAUUAGAUACCCUGGUAGUCC